rnacentral:rRNA from 1 species
AGUGAACGCUGGCGGCGUGCCUAAUACAUGCAAGUCGAACGGAGUGGCGCACGGGUGAGUAAUAUAUAGCUAAUCUGCCCCUUGCUGGAGGACAACAGUUAGAAAUGACUGCUAAUACUCCAUAGCAAGGGAUGGGACUAUAUCGUAUCAGCUAGUCGGUGGGGUAACGGCCUAACGAGGCUAUGUCGCGUAACUGGUAUGAGAGGAUGAUCAGGCCCCUUUGAGCAGAGAGCAGGUGAAAAUCCCUACGGGAGGAAGAAGUAGUGAAUAUUGCGCAAUGGGGGAAACAUUGAAGCAGCCACGCCGUGUGGAGGAUGACAUCUUUCGGAGCGUAAACUCUUUUGUUAGGGAAACGGUACCUAACGAAUAAGCACCGGCUAACUCCGUGCCAGCAGCCGCGGUAAUUC